UUAAUCAAAUGUCGGCACGUCGUGCAGCCGCUUUUCAAUAAAGUCAUAAAUCUCUAAAGUUAUCUCGGUGAAAUGGCUAAUGUUUAUGGUCGCUAUAUUCGAGAAAGUAAGCCUGAGGACCCUUUUCAUUCGGUGACCUCACACUGUCAUCGGAAGCUCUUCGCCUAGGUAAUCCACAAUCUUGAUAGACGUUGAUGGAUGGCGUCAAGUGUGGAUAUGCGAAGUAAGCGUCGAAAACUUCGAUGAAUUGUGAAUUUUGAUUGAUUGCUAAGUGUGCGCAGCCUAGCAACAAGCUUAUUCACGCUCUACACUACAUACGUGGAUACCUACACUCUCGUUUAUAACCACCCUAAAUCUCUAUUGGGGUAGACAGAGCUGAUGUAGGGGAGAUGUAGGCAAUGGGAGUCAGUAGGCAAUGGUGAUCACCUCAAAAUAACAAAAACCGAACGCGACCGACCGAUUCAAACAUAAGUACACGCUAGCAUGACGUCACACCCGUGCGCGAGCGGCGACUGGCUCAGCUCGGCCGACGCGUUGGCGAGUAAUGGGUGUUUGAAGAUUUCGUGCCAUUUACAUCUAAUUUUUCGAGUUAAGAAAUACGAAGGUAAUCGGAGUCGGGUGAUCCCAAUUACCUAUAUGAAGACGCCCUAGUUGAAAAAGAAAAUAAAAGAAAAGCCAAAGCUGUGAAAAACGAAGGAAAAAGAACAGGAAAGAAAAUCAAGCCACAGAAGGGUAGUCGUGACAAGGUUAAGAAGAAAAUUCUGUCGGACUCCAAUGGUACUUCGACGUCAGACGUGAACACGGAUGUGUUAUGCCAGGAAAAUGACGAUGCAGAAGAUGCAAGCAGCUUGUGUCUUGUAUGUGGUGAAUUCGGCCGCAACAAUGAAACAUGGUACCGGUGCACUUCUUGUGGGCUCUGGCCUCAUGCCGACUGUUCUGGGUGGAAUACUGCGCACAAUUAUGUUUGCGAUAUGUGUUGAUCACCAUUGCCCACAUACUGAUCACCAUUGCCAACCCAAGUUGACAAUCGGGAUCAAAGUUAUUUUUUUUUUAAAAUGCUAUUGUACCAAAACUAAUAAACCAAAGUAAUUAAAGUUGAUCUCAAUCGAUAGUUAGUAGAGUAAAGUUUAUAAUAAAAACAGAGUAAUAAAUAGUUGAUUCAUAGAUUA